AGUGAACGCUGGCGGUAGGCCUAACACAUGCAAGUCGAACGGCAGCACAGUAAGAGCUUGCUCUUACGGGUGGCGAGUGGCGGACGGGUGAGGAAUACAUCGGAAUCUACUUUUUCGUGGGGGAUAACGUAGGGAAACUUACGCUAAUACCGCAUACGACCUACGGGUGAAAGCAGGGGAUCUUCGGACCCUGCGCGGUUGAAUGAGCCGAUGUCGGAUUAGCUAGUUGGCGGGGUAAAGGCCCACCAAGGCGACGAUCCGUAGCUGGUCUGAGAGGAUGAUCAGCCACACUGGAACUGAGACACGGUCCAGACUCCUACGGGAGGCAGCAGUGGGGAAUAUUGGACAAUGGGCGCAAGCCUGAUCCAGCCAUACCGCGUGGGUGAAGAAGGCCUUCGGGUUGUAAAGCCCUUUUGUUGGGAAAGAAAAGCAGCAGGUUAAUACCCCGCUGUUCUGACGGUACCCAAAGAAUAAGCACCGGCUAACUUCGU
rnacentral:rRNA from 1 species